UUACUUCAGCAGCAAAUACACUACAAUUGAAACAAUGCAGAGAAGAUUAGCACAGUCCCUGCACAAGGAUGACAUACAUACUCCUGAACCAUUCCACGGUUUA
ensembl:snRNA U6 U6 spliceosomal RNA